rnacentral:tRNA from 1 species
UCCCAUAUGGUCUUGUGGUUAGGAUUUGGCGCUUUCACCGCCAAGGCCCCGGUUCAAUUCCCGGAUUGGGAA